rnacentral:lncRNA from 1 species
GCUCAAAACGAGAAAAGAAAACCGUACAGACAAGAGUCAGGGGUCAGCCAGGCCAGAGGCCUGAAGCCCUCGCGUGGCGAAGAGGCUCCAGACACGAGUUUAGCUCCCAACGAUUGCUGCUACUUGAAAAACAGUGUCUCCGCUCCCUUGGGGCCUGGGCAGGAGGGGUUCAGGCCGCACCGUCCCAUCACCCAUAUGCAGAACCUUGAAAAUCAUUAUAGCAGUUUCAUUUCUCUACGCUGGGGCACAUCUUGUUCCCUAAAACACAGAAAACGAAAGUGAUUUAAAAGCAAACAUCUCAAAACUUGAGAAUGCGAAAUGCUUCUGAAAAUGCUGGCUGGUGACAAUCAAGUUGUUCCAUCAGCUCAUACAGCCUGUCAACUGCAGCCAGGGACUCUAAAUUCAGCAUGCCAGCCCUCCCUGCUGCUCCUGCACCCCUUGGCCGGCUGGAGAGCUCUCGAUGAGAGGGGCUGAACAAUGGAGCAACUGCCGCCUCAGUGGGUCUGUGGCCUGACCUCCGGUGGGACUCUGGAAAGCCUCAAAGCCAGACCCCGGAAGAGACGGCACAGGAAGGAGGGGAUUAGGCUGCUCAAGGGCAUGAAGCCAGCUGCUUCCUCCAGGGUCUGAUCACCUUCAUCAGAGAGCGGCUAGUGAGCCCCCAUCUGACUCUGCUGUUCACCAACGGGAGCUGAACAGAUUCGGCCUCUGCCCCGCCUCCCUCCCGGGGGGUGCAGUUUAGACGAGGACCACGUACCAGGUCGGAGCCAGAAGAAUGGGAGCAAGUAACCACACAAUAGGCAGCACGUUUGCUGUGGUCCAUGUCCAAGGCUGGCUCAUGUACACGGGGUAGGCUGGACAGGUGCAUGGCAGUGUCCCUGGCACAAGCAGGCGGGUAUUUCUUCUAAUAUAAUGACUACAUUGGGAGAGAAAAAUCCUGAGAACCAAUGGUGGAUGGCCUGGGGCUGGCAGAGGGCAGGGGCGUGUGGCACCAGGCUGGGCAGGGGGCACUGCCCAGGUUCCUUCUGGCUCUAUCAACACCCGGUUUAAGACUCAACAAAUGGGGGGCGCCUGGGUGGCACAGCGGUUAAGCGUCUGCCUUCGGCUCAGGGCGUGAUCCCGGCGUUCUGGGAUCGAGCCCCACAUCAGGCUCCUCUGCUAUGAG